rnacentral:lncRNA from 1 species
AUCAAACUAGAAGGCAUCAAAGUAGGAAUAGUCUGACAGAGACUGCCAUUAAUAGAAAGCUACAGAAACAAAAACUGAGAAAUGCUGAAAUACUGUUUUCUUUUCUUCUCCUUUUUGUUUUUUCAAGCCACCAGAGUGAAUGGAAACAACUUAAGUAAGAUAAUCAGGAACAUGCAAUCAAUCAGGAAAUAGAAGACUUGAAACUAAUUAUCCAAAACACGUGUCGUUUGUAACCCAAGGGCCGUGAAGGGGUGCCUGCUAUGUCACCAAGCCACACCCGCCUGGCAAAUCAGGCAUGUGUGGGGGGCUCACCAUCAGUUCUUCACGGCAAUAAGACUCCUGAUCAGCCCAAAUCUCCUGCCUUGGGUCUCCCCUGGGAACAUCAUGACGCAAAUGAGAAGACGGAAAGUAAACAAUUGUAGGUAAAUUCUGCUAUAUGGGACGCCACCUCAGCGUGGCCUUACGAGCAAUGCCAUGUCCAUGCCCAGAAUCCGAACCAGCGAAACCCUGGGCCACCAAAAUGGAGCACGUGAAGUCAACCACUCGGCCAGGGGGCCGGCCCCGAGGUCUCUAUAUUUUUAAGAUACAUCUGACACAACAAGAAGAUAGCCCUCUGCAAACAAGGAAGCCAGCCCUCCCCAGAGAGCGGGGGCCUUGCUCUUAGGGCUCUCAGCCUCCAGAAUGUGAGAAACUAAUGCCUGUUUUGCCUGCCAGCCAGUCUGUGGUAUAUUACUAACUUGUGCCCAAGCCGAGACACCUCCCGCUCUUCAUGCCACUCAGCCUUCUCCCACUCUCAGCUCUUGUGGAGCUUCUUUUCUCUCCAAGGUAAAAUAACUUACAUCCAAUGCUGGAAGAAGGAUCUGGCUGUUAUUGCCCUGUUAUGAACUGACUCAUCUCCCUCAAAAUUCAUAUACUGAAGCCCUACCCCCCAGGACCACAGAAUGUGACUAUGUUUAGAGAUAGGGCCUUUAACGGGGUAAUCAAGGUUCAACGAGGUCAUUAGGGUGGGCCCUAUCCAACAUGACCAGUGUCUUUAUAAGAAGAAGAAAUUUGGACACGGACACAUACAGAUGGAAGACCUUAUGAGACACAGGGAGAGGAGAGCCACCUACAAGCCAAGGGGAGAGGCCUCAGAAGAAACCAACCUACCGACACCUUGAUCUAAGACUUCCAGCCUCCGGCACCAUGAGAAAUCAAGGUUUUGUUGUUUCAAGCCGCCCAGUCUGUGGUACUUCGUUAUGGCAGCCCUAGCAAACUGAUACAGGCUCCCCUCGUGGCCAUGACCUUGGAGGAGAGAAGGACAUUGCUACUCUACCCUCCAAACCCACUGCUACCGGGAGAUGAG